GUGCAUAUGAUGAUUUACUCGGAUUCCCCUUCAAGACAGCUUGGAUGAUGUAGGCCCGAGAUUCUGAUGCA
rfam:Lupinus angustifolius cultivar Tanjil chromosome LG01, whole genome shotgun sequence.